rnacentral:lncRNA from 1 species
AAGAACUCCUUCUUCAAGACUGCGCACAAGAAAGAAGAUCCAUCUUCUUCCUUGAUCUUUUUCUUUUUGAAAAAAAAAAUUUUCUUUAAUUUUCUAUUGUAUAACCAGCAAAGGAGCCUCUUUUUAAUAUCCAAAAACUAACAACAAAAGAUUUCAAAAAUUUUUCAAGAAGGAAGGAGAAGAGGAGAGAUAAGAUGUAUAAGAUAUGGGGUGUCCAACUCUUGGACGCCCCCUUCUCUUACCUUUUCUUUUUGGGCGAUAUGAAAGAAGGGAGGAUGCCUCCUUUUUCUUCAUAGA